AGGGCCCCUUGGACCCCCUGGCUUGGCCCAGGCCAGCAGUAGGGCUGGGUUUUAAUGUCGGCCAGAUGCUCAGCUGAGCCAUAGGCCCCCAGGCCGUGCCGGGGUAGGGGGGCACUAGGAUCUUAACAGCUGAGCAGGCCUCCCCUCCCUAUUGUAUCAAACACUAGGGGCCUCGGCCGAAAAUGGGGCCCAAUGGGCUUCCUGAGCCCUGCAUCAGAGCCCACUCGACCCUGCCUGGCCCGGCUCGGCCUGGCCUCGCUAGGCCCUCAGGCUGCGCGGGGCCUGGCCUGGAAGACUAGGACUGGUUACCUUCUGAGAGGCCGGAAACAGAAAAGAGAUUCCCAGAGUUUAUUCAUCUUAAAAUGUGAAUUUCACAGAGGCACUUCUGAUUAUGCAUUUGAGCUCCAGAGGUCUUUUUAUGGUCACCUUAUGGAAAUUUGUUCAACCCUACUGUUAAGAAUUAUUUCUGCUUGAAAUUUUCUUCCUCACAAGAACUGUUCAAACCUGUUCUGGACUGAAAACCCAGAAGAACACUGGGACCUCAUACCUAUGGCCCACCGAGGCCUGGGAUGCUGCAUUCUGCAUUCCAGUGCUGGAGGGACUGAUAAGAGACUGAGAAGAAGAAGUACAUCUCACAAAAAGGACUUUUCUGAAUUUGUUGUCUCUUCAAAACAGUGAAAGGUUUUAUUGUUUAAUAUUAUUCAUUUUUUUGUGCUUGAGAAUGCUUUGCCUGUUGAAUAAACAGGUUUUUUUCCACCUUUCUCCAAUGAAAUAUUUUCCCAAACCAGUUGAGGGAGGAGCCACUUGAAUCUGCUUUCCAGAGUGAUCCCAUUCAGAGGUUUCCUCACAAAUUUUGCCCUAAACCAAAACAGCAGGUUAGGUAUUUUCAUGUGGCUACUGUCAAAGUAAACAUGUAACUUCUGUGUUAAAACUCUGUCUCAUCAUAUAGACAUUGGAUUGUGUUUUAAAUAAUCUUAAAAUCAAAUAAUCAAACCACUUACUUAAGGUGAUUUUUCUAGUGUUUACUUUUAAUCCUCAGUAAGAAAAAGUUCAUUCUGAUUGCAGGUAGUUUCAGCCUCCAACAGUUUCAAAUUUCCUGCUUUUUUUGACUGGAAAGCAACCUAAUCUGUUGUUAUUUCCCAUGGAAUCUGUCCUAAUGUAUUUUAAGCUGUUGUAAACCAUCAUCAAGUCAUCUCUGUGACUGUUCUUGAAUAAGGCAAACAGCUUGAGCUUCCCAGAAGUUUCAGUAUGAUGAUUUCCAAAGUUUUCCAUUUCACGCACUUUUAAAAAUUUUUUUUUUUCCCAAAGCACAUACCC